UUUUUUUUUUUUUCUUUUAUGGCCACACCUACAGCAUAUGCAAGUUCCUCAGGGACAGGGUUUGAAUCCAGCUGCAGCUAUGGCAGCCCUGAAUGCUUUAACACACUGUGCCAGGCAAACGUCGAAUCGCACUUCCACAGCUAACCCAGCCGCUGAAGUCGGAUUCUUAACACACUGAGCCACAGCGACAACUCCUAGACCCACUUAUUAACUAAAGUCAUUUUCUGUAAAAUCAAAUGAUGCGUUCUUUCCUAUUCAUCCCCAUCCCUUAACUUCUAUGAAAGUAAGAAUUGCACCUGCAUUAACCCCAGGGACUAGGUAGGACCCUUGCCAUUAAGGCAACUACCUUAAAAACUGAGCUGUGCAGAAGUAAAAAAAAAAAAAAAAGAAAUUACAAAUUGUGACAAAACUCCCUGUGGCCCAUGAAACAAAGAAUUAAAAGUAGGAACUGCAAGCACUGAGCUGGAAUUCCAGAAAUUGAAUAUUGUAAAUUACAAUACUAGAAACUGUAGUGGUAGGAAGAAAACAGAAAAUCCUCAAGAACUUACAGUUCAUUGGCAAAGAUUAUGUACUCAAUAAAGACAUGGGGCAUAUUUCAAAUAGACUCAUUAUAUAUGUCUAUUAUACCACCACUAAUGUAAGGUGGGAUUUCAAGCAAAAUUUAUCACUGUCAGGAUGUGUUUUCUGCACAAAAUCACAUACCAGAUUGUGAACAAAGAAUGGAAUCAGUCAUCUUCGAGUUCCUAGUGUUGACAGCAGUGCCAUUAUGGGGGAGAGGCAGUUUCAGUGGUCUAGAGGACGAGCUGCUAGUCAUUUAAGUUCAUUUCUGUGAAACAGGGGACUCCUCCAAUGUAACUCUUGCUAGAGGACUGCCUUUGCACUGACUAGACCUCAUUAUGGGAGCAUAAAAGUAUAAAGCAGGCUCUCAUUCACAAGAGCUGACACUACAGCAGUUUAAAAGAGAAUUGUGCACUUGCAUACAAGAUUCAUUUGCAGUAUAUUUACUUUGGUUAUCCAAAGGAUUCUCAGCUUUCUUCCUUGCUUUGUUCAAAUGCCUACCACUUCUUGUUCAUCUACCCCACUGCUCUAGCAUCACCAAUCAAAGUCUAUUCACUGAACUAAAGAGACAAGCAUUAAAAUUUCUUUUCUUCUCUAUAUGCCUAAUCCAGACCAGAAUCUGCCUUCCCAGACAUGUUCACAGGUGGACAUUCUCCAGCUUCCUCAUACUCAUUAACUCCCCUCCCCAACAACCCCUGGUUCCUCAACUUUGUAAAUGCAGUUACCCACCCAGCAACCAAAGCUUGAAGAUUCCUCUCCAUAUUCAAUAGGUUUUAAAGUUCAAUUAAUGUUUAUAGAAUCUGCUCUUUCAGAGUCCAACUAUCUGUUAAGAUUGCUAAGUUCCCUUGUGGGCAGGCAGCAGGUUGAUUUGGCAUUACCACAGAUGUGGCGCGGGUCCUUUGAUCCUUGGUCUAGGAACUUCCACAUGCCAGUAACGGGGGGAGUUCCCGUCCUGGCUCAGCAGAAACGAAUCUGACAAGCAUCUAUGAGGAUGCAGUUACCAUCCCUGGCUUUGCUCAGUGGGUUAAGGAUCUAUCUGUGAGCUGGGGUGUAGUUCAGAUGUGGCUCAGAUCUGCUUGUGGCUGUGUUGUAGGCCAGCAGCUAAGGCUCCAAUUCAACCCCUAGCCUGGGAACCUCCAUAUGCCACAUGUGCAGCCCUAAAAUGACAGGGGAAAAAAAAGCCAACUUGGUUUUCCUACCCUUUGGUUUAUGUUGGGUUGCCACAGGGAUCUUUCUAAAGUACAAAUCUGGCCACUUGUCAAUCAAGCUCUCCAAUGACACCCUCAUACAAAAAUAGUCUAAAAUCCUGACAAUUGGCAUUUUCUAGACUUUCCAAUUACUCCCCCACAACAGAUGUUAAUACAUAACCCUGUUGAAUGAUUCCUCAAAUGCCUUCUGCUUACUCCUAAAAUCUUUGUGCCAUUCCUUUUCUGAAAGGCCACCCCUAAGCAUUUCUUCCUUUAUUCCUGAGCAUCAGUUGUGUACUUACUUAGCUAGUGAGACAGUGUACUUUUAGUUAUGCUAUUUUCUCAGAAGGGUAACUAAAUCUAAAUGGAGGGUUGGUAUCUGCCCUUCCUUCCCUUGACCCAAGUUCAAUUUCCUUAGGGUUCCAGUGACCAAAUCCAAAUUGUGGUGACCAUGAAUCUUCUCAGAUCUGAUGAAGAGGUGACUGACCAAUGAUUCUGCACUAUCUACCUGUCUUGAGGCCACAUUUCCCAAGAGCUGCUGAUAAAUAAACCAGCAGUACAAACACUAGCCCCCUUUCUGUGACUCUCCCAACAGCAAUUUUAGCUUCAGGGCCAUUAAACUAAACCGUGGAAGGGCCAACAUGUGCUAUUUAGCACACCCUCUCGUUCAAAGAUCCUUCUCAGCACCACCCCCAUAGAUUUUUAGCAUGCUAAUAAAUCCUUAAGUCUGCUUGGAGAACCCAAAUACAAUUAAAAACUGUUCAAAAGGGGCUCAUUUGACAAACUUACAAUUUUCUGUUCAUAUUUUUAGUGGAAUAUCAAAAUUUGUUGGUUAAUGAAAGUAGCUGCUACUGCAUCAAACAUCUCAAACCACCAUAAUGCAAACCGAUACCUUGUUCAAACUUGUAUUCAACACAUUCUGAGACUUAAAAUACUCUGCAGCCCUGUUUAGUGUCAUGCCAAAAGAUGUCUUGCACUUUACUACCUUAAUACAGAAUCAAGGAAAGCUACACUGUACAGGCAAUCCUAACCACUCCCUGCCCAAGAUUACUUUUUCUGAGGACCAGGACAUUUUGGGGACACUUUCAGUUUACACAUAUUCCCAGUCAAGUGUUAACAUCCUAGAAUGCUUUGUCCAGCCACGAGUCACAUUCGUGUCUGUUCAAAGGAGCUGCCUUGUAUCAUAUAAUGCCCAAAUUUCUCCCCCCAAAAUUUUCCAACCAAUCUAUAUUGAAAGAGUGCAUGGUAUUACAAGGUACUUUAAGAGAUCAAGAUAUUGCCAGCCACACGGGAUCUGAGUCGCAUCUGAGCCCUACACUGCAGCAUACAGCAAUGCCAGAUUCUUUUAACCCAAUGAGCCAGGCCAAGGAUCAACCC
ensembl:lncRNA